rnacentral:rRNA from 1 species
GAUGAACGCUGGCGGCGUGCCUAAUACAUGCAAGUCGAGCGAACGGACGAGAAGCUUGCUUCUCUGAUGUUAGCGGCGGACGGGUGAGUAACACGUGGAUAACCUACCUAUAAGACUGGGAUAACUUCGGGAAACCGUAGCUAAUACCGGAUAAUAUUUUGAACCGCAUGGUUCAAAAGUGAAAGACGGUCUUGCUGUCACUUAUAGAUGGAUCCGCGCUGCAUUAGAUAGUUGGUAAGGUAACGGCUUACUAAGGCAACGAUGCAUAGCCGACCUGAGAGGGUGAUCGGCCACACUGGAACUGAGACACGGUCCCGACGCCUAAGGGAGGCAGCAGUAGGGAACGUGCCGCAACGGGCGAAAGCCUGACGGAGCAACGCAGCGUGAGUUAUGAAGGUCUUGGGAGCGUAAAACCCUGUUAUGAGGGAAGAACAUAUGUGUAAGUAACUGUGCACAUCUUGACGGUACCUAAUCAGAAAGCCACGGCUAACUACGUG